CCUACGGGGGCUGCAGUGGGGAAUAUUGGACAAUGGGCGAAAGCCUGAUCCAGCCAUGCCGCGUGUGUGAAGAAGGCCUUCGGGUUGUAAAGCACUUUCAGUGGGGAAGAAAGCCUUGGGGCUAAUACCCUCGAGGAAGGACAUCACCCACAGAAGAAGCACCGGCUAACUCCGUGCCAGCAGCCGCGGUAAUACGGAGGGUGCGAGCGUUAAUCGGAAUUACUGGGCGUAAAGCGCGCGUAGGCGGUCUGAUAAGCCGGUUGUGAAAGCCCCGGGCUCAACCUGGGAACGGCAUCCGGAACUGUCAGGCUAGAGUGCAGGAGAGGAAGGUAGAAUUCCCGGUGUAGCGGUGCAAUGCGUAGCGAUCGGGAGGAAUACCAGUGGCGAAGGCGGCCUUCUGGACUGACACUGACGCUGAGGUGCGAAAGCGUGGGUAGCAAACAGGAUUAGAUACCCUUGUAGUC
rnacentral:rRNA from 1 species